CAGUCGCCGCGGGAAUACGAAGGGGGCUAGCGUUGUUCGGAAUCACUGGGCGUAAAGAGCCCGUAGGCGGAUCUUUAAGUCAGAGGUGAAAUCCCGAGGCUCAACCUCGGAACUGCCUUUGAUACUGGGGAUCUCGAGUCCGGGAGAGGUGAGUGGAACUGCGAGUGUAGAGGUGAAAUUCGUAGAUAUUCGCAAGAACACCAGUGGCGAAGGCGGCUCACUGGCCCGGAACUGACGCUGAGGUGCGAAAGCGUGGGGAGCAAACAGGAUUAGAUACCCCUGUAGUCCCUGUCUCUUAUAC
rnacentral:rRNA from 1 species